UACGUAGGGUGCAAGCGUUGUCCGGAAUCAUUGGGCGUAAAGAGCGUGUAGGCGGUUCGAUCAGUCUGCUGUGAAAGUCCAGGGCUCAACCCUGGGAUGCCGGUGGAUACUGUCGGACUAGAGUCCGGAAGGGGCGAGUGGAAUUCCUGGUGUAGCGGUGAAAUGCGCAGAUAUCAGGAGGAACACCGAUGGCGAAGGCAGCUCGCUGGGACGGUACUGACGCUGAGACGCGAAAGCGUGGGGAGCAAACAGG
rnacentral:rRNA from 1 species